UACCUCAAGUCAAGUAAGAAUACCCGCUGAACUUAAGCAUAUCAAUAAGCGGAGGAAAAGAAACUAACUAGGAUUCCCUUAGUAACGGCGAGUGAACUGGGAAGAGCUCAAAUUUUAAAUCACUUUGGUGAAUUGUAAUUUGAAGAAAGUGUUUUGACUUUUCAGUUUAAUCUAAAUCCUUUGGGAUGAGGUAUCAUAGAGGGUGAGAAUCCCGUUUGUGAUUAAACCUCGGAUUGCACUAAUUCACUUUCUAAGAGUCGAGUUGUUUGGGAUUGCAGCUCUAAAUGGGUGGUAAAUUUCACCUAAGGCUAAAUAUAUGCAAGAGACCGAUAGCGAACAAGUACCGUGAGGGAAAGAUGAAAAGAACUUUGAAAAGAGAGUUAAACAGUACGUGAAAUUGUUGAAAGGGAAACGAUUGAAGUCAGUCAUGCUAGUGAGGAAUCAACUUGGUGGUUUACUUCCUUGUGUAUUUUCUUACUUGGCAGGUUAGCAUCAAUUUUGGUUGUCAUCAAAUAAUUGGGGGAAUGUGGCUUUUCUUCGGGAAAGUGUUAUAGACCUUGAUAGAUGUGGCGACUGAGAUUGAGGUUUGCAGCGAAUGCCUUUGGCUAGUCAUCUGUCUUCUGACCGUCACCUCGCUUUUGACAGCUUGCUGAUGAUUGUGGGAUUUGGUGGCCUAGAAGUUAGAAUGUACAUAAAUUCGCUAAGGAUGCUGACGUAAUGGCUUUAAACGACCCGUCUUGAAACACGGACCAAGGAGUCUAACAUAUGUGCGAGUGUUUGGGUGAUAAAACCCGGAACGCGUAAUGAAAGUGAUUCUGGUGGGAACCUCUCGGGGUGCACCAUCGACCGAUCAGGAUAUUCUUUGAUAGAUUUGAGUAAGAGCA
rnacentral:rRNA from 1 species